UAUGGGUCGUUAGCUCAGUUGGUAGAGCAGUUGACUUUUAAUCAAUUGGUCGCAGGUUCGAAUCCUGCACGAC
rnacentral:tRNA from 2 species